CCCUUAGCUUCUGGAAGAUAAA
rnacentral:miRNA from 1 species